GGACAAAAUGCUUAUUAGAACAGAACUGAUGCAUUAAAAUAGGGUGGUUUAGAAAGAAGAUUCCAGGAAAAAGUGUAAGACCUUCCUUCCUAUUGUCAAGUCCCCUCUGUGCUGGCUCUAUGCCACUCAGUGUCUGCACCUGAGACGCCCUCGCAUUGGGGGUUUGGGGUAGCCUGGGGCGGAGGCAGACCUGGACUGGAAGGCUGCUCUGCUUCUCACUGUGUGUGUACUUGGGCAGGUCGGGUCACCUCCUUAAGCCACAACUUGCUCACUUGAGACUCAUACAGCAGGUGGUAGAGUAGGGAAGUAACUGGUUUCCAUAAAAUUCCUACUAGAUGCAGAAUAAAAGUUAGUUCUGAUCUGGGCGCAGUGGCUCAUGCCUGGAGUCCCAAUACUUUGAGAGGCUGAGGAGGGAGGAUUGCUUAAGUCUAGGAGUUCAAAACUAGCCAGGGCAACACAGUGAGACCCUCCAUCUCUACAAUUUUUUUUUUAAUUAGCCAGGUAUGGUGGCAGUUGCCUGCAGUCCAAGAUAGGGGUCCUCAAUCCCCAGGCCACGGACCGGUACCUGUCCAUGGCCUGUUAGGAACGGGCACACAGCAGGAGGUGAGCAAGCAUUACUGCCUGAGCCCCGCCACCUGUCAGGUCAGUGGCAGCAUUAGAUUCCCACGGGAGCAUGAACCCUGUUGUGAACUACUCAUGCAAGGGACCUAGGGUGUGCAUUCCUUAGGAGACUCUGAUGCCUGAUGAUCUGAACAGGAUCAGGCUUUAGACUGGAACAGUUUCUUCCCGAAACCAUCCCACCCCGCUCCCAGACCUGAAAAAAUUCUCUUCCAUAAAACUGGUCCCUGGUGCCAAAAAGGUCGGGUACCACUGGCCAAGCUACUUGGAAGGCUGAGGCAGGAGGAUCAAUUGAGCCUGGGAUGUCGAGGCUGCAGCGAGCUAUGAUUGCACCACUGCACUCCAGCCCGGGCAGCAGAGCAAGACCCUGUCUCUAAAAAAAUUUUUGUUAAAUUUCUGUCCUGUGCUCCCGCCAUGUGUAUCCUCAAUUCUCUACAUUUUCAUAUCUCCACAGAUUGCAGAUCUAAGGAUGAGGCUAAGAAAGAAGUGGCCAGAUCUCUUUGUGUGGUUGGGUUGGGAUGGAAGGCUGGAGAGAAGAGAGAGGGCAAAAUGCCAAGAGCCUCGGGGCUCCCAGGAUUCACCUCCUCCAGGAAGCCUUCCUGUACAUCUGGCUCUGCACUCCCAUCGGUGCCGGGCUUUGCCCUAGCACUUUCAAACUACUGCAGUGAUGUAGUUGUUUCUCUUUCUCUCUCAUAAUUGUGAACAUUGCAAGGGCAGAGAUCCAUUUUCAUGUUAUACCCUGGACCAGAGGUUCAUGGUGGCCCUGAAGGUUUGCCUCAAGAGAGGGGCUUUGAGAAGUGUAACUGGUGACCAGCUUCCAGUGGCUGCACUCAGCCCCACACCAGGUUCUGAAGACUCCCCCUGCACCUCCUCCUCCCCGCAAUUCAUCUUCACAGGCGCUCCCCUGUAGAUCUCUCGCACAUCUAGUCCCGUCUCAGCCUCUGCUCUCAGAGGGCCUGAACCAACCCUUGCGGUUCUUGGUUGCACAUCACAGAAAAGGACUGAGUCAGCUUAAACAGGAGAGUUGCUUAGAAGAGAGGCAAUGGGAGAUCGCAGAUUGACAGGAGGGCUGAAAAUCAGGCACAUGCUUGGGCUGGACCCCCGACAAUGUCCUAGUUGUAGUCCAGGAGCAGUUCCAGUUAGGAUCUAUGCUGCUCUUCCGCUGGACGCUGAACUCGUGUCACCACCAAUUUUAGGCAAUGCUGACACAUGCCUAGAAAAACCCUGAAGCGUCCUUGUAGACUCACUCCCCACAGGAACAUGCCUGUACCCUGAUGGCCAGGACCUGAGAAACAAGAAUUGGCAGGGUCCCCAGGUGGAAGUUCAGAUGGCAGCUGCCCCAGAAAACACAUGUCCACCAGGACAGGGUAUUUGUUGAACUCCCAUUGAACUGAAUUUAGAGGAUGCUGCUUCCCUCUUCCUUCAUUUGGAGGUUGUUCAUCCAAAUAUCUGAGUGCCUACGCUGCGCUAGAAGCUGGGAGAGACCGGCCCAGUGGUGAUAACUGUUUAAGCUUCAGCUUGCUGCAGGAGGCAGCACUGCUGUGCAGGUGGAUUCUUUCCCAUGGCGUUUGGUGUAGAUGCUCCCACCAUGGCUGUUUUCAAGCUACCAAGGUGACGUCACCAGACGUGGAGUUGGGAAGAGAUGCAGUCAGCUCUCCCAGGCGUGGGCUCCAGCUCACUAGGUCUGCUCGGGGAGUUUACACUCUAGUGGGGACUUGCAUUCUAGUGCUGUGUGUGUCAGUUUAGACUAAGCUGAGUUUUACAAUCAGAGUAUUCAAACAUUUUUACGAUAAAAGUCAUAGAACCGAUGCCACAGCCCACUAGGAAUCCAAAAGGAAAAAAGAUACUCCACAUCAGAGGCUGCUGCAUUUAUUUCUCUAACGUCUCCCCACCCCCCAAUACAUAUAUUCAUUUCCCUUAAUACAGUCAUUCAAACGCUGGGAACGGCGGGAAGGCGAGGGUCAAAACUCCACUCCGUGCUGUGCUUCCAGACGCCACCUCAACCUUCCUUCCCCCAUUGCGUUGCCAUAUCCAAGUCAGCUCUUUGAAGCACCAUGCCAGACCACUGGAGUGGGAAUUCAGGGCUCAGUGUGUCUGACAAGUGGCUGUCAGGAGAUAAGCCACCUGGCCUUUGGAGGGGAGUUUUACCCUUAAAGCUGAGACAGAAAUAUAUAAUAGCUCCUCCCACCCUUCCUGCAGACAAGAAGGCCAUCCAGAGGGAAAGAACAGGAAUUCCUGGGAUGUCCCCUCAGUGACACCAGGCCCACGCUGACUCGGAUCCCGGAAAGGGCACCGGGAUGCGGGAGAGGCUGUGUGGAGGCAGGACAAUGCCUGGGGAAGGAGAGCAGAGACAGUGGGAAAGGAAGGGGCUUUCCAAUGCUGUUUCUGACUAGCUCCCAGCCAGCAGCUCCAGCCGGCAGAGAUCUCAUCCCCUCUGCCCACAGGGGAACACAAACUCCUACCACAGCGACCCCAACCACGGCCUCCUUUGGAGAAGCUGGUUGAGACAUUAAGGGAGCUGCUGUGAGGAACCCACCCUCACUUCCCAAAGGGGAGAGCAGCUCCUGGCCCAGACCCCACAAAGGUCGGUGUAAGGUGUGGAACCAGCUCAAGAGCACAGGCCCGGAGCAUGUCUCUGGGCCUUGAAGCUCCAGGUGGGCACCCCAGACUCCCAGGCAAGCCUGGUGUCCUGUGGCCGCCUGGUGGCCCCUCGGAUGGUUGCAGAAGGCAGCAAGUCCCUGUUCUCUUGUGAUGAAUCCAGUGAGCCAGGCUCUGAGGUCCCUGGUGCUGUCCCUGGGGGGCUGUCACGGACAGGGGCCCUGGAUUGGUAGCCCCAGAGGCCAGCAGUCAAGGCUGUUUAGAUCCUUUUGUCUUGGUCUCACCCUCCACCAUGCUCCUGGGACACUUCUCAUCUACCCUGUGGCUUCAGCCUCUGUACCUGAAUGGUUCUCAGCCCAGACAUUGAGAGACAGCCUGUGUCUCGGGCCAAAGACCUGGAAACACAACCCAGAAGUCAGUGGGCCAGUGCCUCGCAAUCCUAAAACAAGACUUCCCCGAAGCUGAAGGGAGAGGAAAUAAUUUUUCUUUUCUUUUCUUUUCUUUUUUUUUGCUGCAGUGCUUCUCUAGCUCUCAUUUCUGUGGGGACCUGUUAUCCUGGACCCCUACUUUAUAGUAUAAUGCCACGGAAAGAUGUACAGACACAAAACGGGGUCUAAGCUCUUUAUUUUUACAGCUUUCAUAUCACUGUUAAUUCUAUAUAUCUAGGUCCCAAUCCCUUAUCAGAAACUCUUGAGGCCAAACGUGUUUCAGAAUUGAGAAUUUUCCAGGCUUUAGAAGUGACUAAACUGCAUAUUAUAUAAUACUCCCAGCAGGCUGGAAGCCCUCUUUUCACCAUCUCGGCUCACUGCAACCUCCGCGUCCUAGGUUCAAGCGAUUCUCUUGCCUCAGCCUCCCCAGUAGCUGGGAUUACAAGCACACACCACCACACUCAGCUAAUUUUUGUAUUUUUAGUAGAGAUGGG
rnacentral:lncRNA from 1 species